GUAGGGAAUCUUCGGCAAUGGACGAAAGUCUGACCGAGCAACGCCGCGUGAGUGAAGAAGGUUUUAGGAUCGUAAAACUCUGUUGUUAGAGAAGAACAAGGGUGAGAGUAACUGUUCACCCCUUGACGGUAUCUAACCAGAAAGCCACGGCUAACUACGUGCCAG
rnacentral:rRNA from 1 species